AUACGAAGGGGGCUAGCGUUGUUCGGAAUUACUGGGCGUAAAGCGCGCGUAGGCGGAUUGGUCAGUUAGGGGUGAAAUCCCAGGGCUUAACCCUGGAACUGCCUCUAAUACUGCCAGUCUUGAGUUCGGGAGAGGUGAGUGGAAUUCCUAGUGUAGAGGUGAAAUUCGUAGAUAUUAGGAAGAACACCAGUGGCGAAGGCGGCUCACUGGCCCGAUACUGACGCUGAGGCGCGAAAGCGUGGGGAGCAAACAGGAUUAAAAACCCUAGUAGUCC
rnacentral:rRNA from 1 species